AUAAUAGACUGAGGAUGAUGAAGAGGAGGAGGAGGCAGAACCCCAUGGCUGUUUCUCUGCUGUUGGUGGAGGGAGCUACCUGACAUCCAGGACCAGCCCAGGGCCUGUAGACAGCCCUCUAACUGGGAGGAUAAUGGGAGAAGAACUUCUCACAGACCUCCUCCAUUUAAGUGGGAGAUUCUCUUAUGAAAUCACCUCCACACUAGCACCCUGUUUUCAGUGGCUAUCUGACUGCUAUGCUGUGUCCUUGGGCAGGACAGCACUGAUGUCCUGGGUUAUGUUAUUGGUUUGCUCUGGACCUACAAGUUCUGUGCUUUCUCCAGAGCAGUAAGUGACAUUGCAGUUCACUUCUGUUCAUGUCUGAGUUGCCGUACUUGGAUGUAUUGUCACAACAGUCCCUCAAAGUCAAGUGUUAUGUAGUGAAAACUUGCAAUACAAUAUGACAUAAUAAUGCUCUUAGCACUUGAACCUCUUCAUCUUUUAACGUAUACUCCUCGAUCAUAUUGCUCUACGACACUCAGUAUGAGUUUGUACUGAGAGCCAUGCCAUGGCUACUGGCAUCAACGUUCUGUGCAACCCUGCAUCUUGCUGUAUCCUUCUCCAGAUUGUGUUCCUGUCCUGGUGCAGGAAGAGUACCACUCCGCAGCAGCAUGGAAGGGGUUCUCCAGACACAGUCUCUUGGGGGGCUUCUCUCCCCCACUCAGCACAACCCUAGAGGGAAGACUAAGAAAAACACACAGGCUUGGAUGGCACUCCUCUCUGUGUUCCCUCCAAUAACACAAAUCUCAACAAGAUGGCUGAUAUGGGAUAUUACAUGGAUGUCAACAUUCAACCAGACUCUGUCCAGGGAAGCAGGUGUGUCAGAGAGAUCCCCCUCAGGAGGACUGUGAGAAUGGACAAACCCUGCACCUUAGAAACAUUCUCUGACUCCUCAUCCCUCAACUCUGAUGUGGAGGUCAGAUCCCAACGGAUCCUUACAUCUUCCUCACAUUCUUUAUUAACAACCUUACUAUCGUGUAAAAUCAUAUUCUACAGCAAGAUUUUGCCCAAUAUGGUUAAGUUAUUCUGAGUUUAGUAUGUGAUCGUAAAAAAAUGUGAACUGUUAAACCAUUUUCUGCCACAAGAUGGUGAUAGUAUGUGAAGGAUGGUUGAAAACUUGUUGCUUUGGAUUCAUCUACACAUCAGGGAAACCUAUUAUUUUCAGUCUUAACACAUUGUAGGCCCUGCCUAUUACCAUGUAAGGAAGGUCAAAUCAAGACCUUUACCCACAAGGUCUUCUGAAGUGCUUUGCUUGCUAACUAAGUAUGUUUAUUUAACGUUACUUCUUUAUGCUCAGGCCUUUCCAUGUCGACUGAUUAUUAUAGUGCAGUGAAAGUCCACUCAAGGGCCAUUUCAUAUGAAUUCGAUCACUUUCUGACUGCACCCCUUUUGAUUUGAACGAAACCUUCCAUACAUGUUUGCCAUGGUAGGAGUGGUCAGAAAAGUGACCUUUUGGACCUGAAUGCCAAAACAUUCAGGAGAUAGAGGUGCUCAAAGUUGACGUAUUUUGCAUACCUACCAUUAGACGUCUGUGUCUUCAUCACUGAAAAAUAUAAUUCAAAUCAAAUCAAACUUUAUUUGUCACAUGCACCGAAUACAAUAAGUGUAGACCUUACCGUGAAAUGCUUACUUACAAGCCCUUAACAGUGCAGUUCAAGAAGAGUUAAGAAAAUAGUUACCAAAUAAACUAAAGUAAAAAAUAAUAAAAAGUAACACAGUAACAUAACGAUAACGAGGCUAUAUACAGGGGGUACCGGUACCGAGUCAGUGUGUGGGGGUACAGGUUAGAGGUCAUUUGUACAUGUAGGUAGGGGUGAAGUGACUGCAUGGAUAAUAAACAGCGAGUAGGUGCAGUGUACAAAACAAAUGGGGGGGUCAAUGUAAUAGUUUUUAACGUUAAAGGUAUAAAAAAACAAGCAGAUUUUUGUUAUAUCAAACUCGUUUAUCUAAAUGUGUAAAGUCAGAUUUGUCUCAUUUUCGCAUAGGUUUUAACUUAGACACGGAUUUAUCUGAAGUUCCAGGCAUAAGCGACAUAAGCAGGUAGCUUAGGGCACCCAGCACACAAACUCAGUCGGGUCUUGUAAGGUCCUGACCAUAGAGAGCCCUUAUUUUCUAUGGUGGAGUAGGUCAAGGCGUGACUGGGUGUUUAGUCUAGUUUAUUAUUUCUAUGUCUCUAAUUGGGGAUCAUAUUUAAGUAGCAUUUUUUCCACCUGUGUUUUGUGGGAUAUUGUUUAUGUGUAGUUGCAUGUUAGCACGUUUAGUCUUUAUUGUUUGUUGUGUGGUUCACUUAUUUCUAAUAAAAGAUG
ensembl:lncRNA